GCGUUGAGACACUCGCUUCGCCGCUUGCGUAACCGGUGCUCGAGCACGGUUCUAUCGCGUUAAUUUGCGACAACCAGCACGUGCCGCGUGCGCAGUUGUUAUACCAACGGCUGCCCAUCGAGGAGAGAUCUUAGUGUACAAACUUUGACGUUCGCUCGCCGCUCGACUUCCAUUAUCGAAAUUAAUAAAAGGGGGAGGGGGAGGGAGAAGAGUGUUUGGACAAGACAAUUUUCAAAUUGCGCAAACUUUCGAUUCUCUUUCGUUUCCGUUUCGCAAGUAAGAGGAGAAGGAUGAUAGAGAUUUAUUCUAUUUAGAAUUUAGAAUCUUUGUUAAGACCAAGAAAAAAUUAAACGCAAGGAAAGAUUAAAUAUAAAUUAAAACAAUUUUCAAAUUGUCCAAACUUUUGAUUCCCUUUCGCUCGUUUUGCAAGCAACAGGAGAAGAAUGAAAGAGUGCGAUUCUAUUUUGAAUUUAGAAUCUUUGCUAAGAUUAAGAAAAAAUGGCCAAGAAAAAAGAAAGAUUAAAUAUAAAUUUUCAAAUUCGUUUUGCUCGUUUUGUAAAAAACAGGAAACAGGAAAAUGAAAAAGAUUUAUUCUAUUUAGAAUUUUUCACUGGCCAAAAAAAAAUUAAGGCGAAACAGAGAGAAAGAUCAAAUAUAAAACUAAGAUAAUUUUUAAAUUUCCAUUCCUUUUCAUUUUGUAAAAAAAGAACGAAAGAGAUCUGUUUAAAAUUUAAAACCGAUCUUUCGAGAAAAAAAAAAUCAAGGCGAAGGAUUAAACGUCCGCGAUCAAACAUAAACGCUUUAGCCGCGAAUAAUUAAUAACCCUCCGGCCCGUAUAUAUUCUCAAAGAAGCAUUCCACCACUACUCGAUUCCACGACUCGAAAGGGAAUACGCGAAUAAAUGGAGAGACGCGAUUAGGAGCGGUUUUCACGGAUGCGGGGAAUGGAGAAAUUCGGAUCGAUGCGAAAGGAAAUUAUGGCCUCGAGAGCCACCAGUUAACGUAACGUAAUUUUAAUUCUCAUUGGCUCGCGCGCGUGUGUCGAGGAGAAGAAGAGAAGAGAGAGAGAGAAAGGAUUCGGCUAGGAGCGGACCGAUCACUUUCCGUUUCACAAGUGGAACAGAUCUCCGAAUGAUCCGACGAAGAUAAAACUACCGUUCGCUGGGGUGGGGGAAAAGAAGUUGGAAGCAAGUGUACGUUUCCAUCUGGUGGCAUAUAUUUGUACCAAUCCAAGACGACGUAUAUCUCGAUGCGUCAGAGUAUUCUAACAAUAUUACAUAAAAAUUCUUUUUAUCUUCCGCAACAGUUUAAAUUUAUAAUUAUAAUUUUAUUCGAUCGUUAAACGAAGAUAAUUCUCGACUUCGAAUCGAGUGAGAAUACGUCUCGGAAGGGAACUCGUCUGAAAAAUUUGAUUUCGAUGUUCAUUUUCGCGUUUCCUCGAUCGUUCCCUCUUGGAAAUCGCGCGUGUCGGGAAUAAAAAGAAGAAUGGCGGGAAGGAAAGGCGAGAGACAGGCUCUCGAUGAACGAGAAAGUCGACGAUACUGUGGAAAAUAAUUUUCAGGAGCACUCCUCCUCGGGAACAAAGCGGGAAGUCAGGGUUUGAAGGGGAUCUUAAGUUUGAAGAACGCAUUAAUGCAGCCCCUCUCAGGAAUGCUCAGAAAUUCCCCUGGAAGAGUAUAAUGCCGUCGUGAAUUAGGACGCGCAAGUGACAUCGUUCUCACAGACGGCGAACGCUGCCUUUCGCCCGUAUUUCGUAAACCGAUAUAAAACUCUCUCCUUCUGUUAAUUCGCAUUUCAUUCUCACCGUUGCUAUAUAACGCGUGAUCACGUUGUAAUCGUGAAAAUUCGAAAGAAAAAAAAAAAGAUGAAUAAUAAUCGUGCAUUAAAUCGAAUUGGACGGUAUUUUUGCAAUCUUUUUUAUGAAUUUUGCUAUACACACUCGCUGUAAUUGGCAUUGGUAACGAUGGUAACGAUUACGUUGGUUAAUUACGCCGCUUGAUUCGUAUUAAAUUGCACGGGUACGCUACGUGGAUGUUAUAAUUAGGGCCGUGUGGAAUACGUUCCAUUUCAAUGGAUGAUGGGAUAUAUAACGUUGUUAGAGGAUAAGGGAGGAGAAUAUUCGCCCACCGUUUGAAUAAUAGAAGAUUCUACAGUAUAAAUACAACUUAAACUUUGACCAUCGCGUUUCUAAAGUGUAACACAAUGGAAACGAAUAAUCUUAUAUAAGCUGAGUAACGCGUUUCAACGAUUAAAACCACGUGCCUUCUUUCGUAGUGAAUUUGGAAUACCGUUCCUGUACGAGUUUAAGUCACGAGCCGAAGCGCAUCGAAAUAUUAGGUUAGGUUUCGAAGAAGAUUCUGGUCUGGGAACGAGAAUCUCAAGAAACGAGUCCCGAGACUAUGCCAAAAUCCGUGUUAAACGAGGGUAAACGGAAAGCGAAAGCGGAGGCGGAGUUGGACGCAUCUGGGUUUUCGCGCAUUCGAGCGAAAGCGAAGAAAUCGGAAAAGUGGCAACGACGCCAAACGAAGGAGGAUGAAAAGUUGCGCCAUCUCGAAGCGCUGUCAUCGCGCAGAGCUCGAAACGGCACGAGUCCAUUUUCGAAUAGGAUUACAAGCUGUGAACGAAUAACGAAAGCAUUUUACGUGGUGUCCGUAAAGGAAACGAUUCGUCGUUCUUCUCCGAAACGAGGAGAUACCGUAACAACGGCAUUCAACUGGCGAGCAAUAGAUCGAGAAACGAGCUUCGUUGAUCGAUAAAACCUAUUCUUCUGCGACGCGACAAUAUUCUAUUGUACCGACCGAUCUCGUCGUACUCGUUGUUUCCACGUUGUUGUUUUCAAAAAAUAAUAUACUCGAGAAUAUUAUAUAAAAAAAGAACAGAAUACUGGUCAAUCGAGAAACAAAUUAUUCUUCCAUUUUGUGUACGAGUCUAUCCUCUCCUCGAAGAACGAGAAAGAAUAAAAAGAAGAAGAAGAAGAGAAACAUUUGAGAGGAAAAAAAGCGGCUGCUCGAUGAUUAAACGGUAAUGAAGCAAACAAACUGGAGCAGGUGAGGACAGGUUGGCAUUCGCCAAGGAGGAGAUAUUAUUAAAAGUUGUGAAGGGUGCACAAUAGGAGGGAAAUUGGAGGCGUUGAAUUAUUGGAGAACGCGGUGCAGGAUGAAAACUCGUGGUGAAAAUUUAUACGGCGUGGAGCGUGGAAAGUGUUAAGGGUUAAUAAGACGCUUGUUUUAAGCGCUUUGAGUGGACGCGCUCGAAUACUAUUCGUGGAGGGGGAGGCGUGCUCGGCCAUUACGGGUAGUGCAACAAUUCGCUCGCGUGCCUCGAAAUGUCAGAAGAACGUGACGCCGAUGGAAGUGGGGAGGGCGCAAAAACGUGACCCAGAACACGAAAUCCGACCACCCCUUAAUGCCGAUCCGAAUCCCCGUUUUGUAUCCGCGUUUCGUACGCAAUAAUUUCAAUUCGAUUAACUCCUCCUAAUUUCCUUUCCUCCAAAUUUCGUGGAUAACGAGAGGUAUCUCGAUCUCGAAUUAAACUAAUCGAUUCCCAAAGAAAUCGAUUUAAAUAAAAUAUAAACGAAACGUUGGAAAGUGUUCCAUGUAUAUUGUACGUAGAUUGAUUCCGAAGGAGGAGUCGUGGAAUAAUUAAAUCGUGUCGUGAGCUUCCUCACACCUUUUCUUUUUCUUUCAUCCAGACGAUAAAUAUAAACGAUAAAUAUCGAUCCUGCUUGGAACGAAAAGCGAAAUUUAUAUAAAGAAUCGUGGAAUAAUUGCCUCGCUUUUGAUCCUUCCACUUUAUCGUCGUUGAAUCGUUAAGUUUGUAAAUAUUUUACGACAAAUCGAAGAUAGAUAUCAACGGUUUCACGAACGAAAAGAAAAUCGUUGAGCACGCAAGCGAACGAACAGAAAUUGGAAGCGAUUCCUCCAAUCCUUCGAAUUCGUCGAACGAAGAAGAAGGGAGGGGAAGAGCAAAAUCUUAAUAAACGUACGAGUGGAGGAGGGAGAGAAGGGAGGGAGAGAGAAAACGAGUUGGUUGUCGAGUCGUUGCGCGUUUGCAGGACGCAAUCUGAUCCGAUUAGAUCGCGUGCAAACGCAACGUGCACACCGAGCUCGAAUCUAAUAGUUAAUUACACGUGACAACAAGCACCGGUUAAACUCGCCGAUAAAAUUCCAUUUCUCUCGACUCACGAGUCGAGUCGGUUUCGAUGCAUCGUUUCGAACAAUUCGCAGAUUUAUCGCCAUUUCUUUUCUUCCAGAGCCGAUACGAGGAUUGAGAUCGAAAAAAGAGAAAGAUUGGUGAAUUUUAUUCGAGAGGGAGCCACGUUCCUCUUUAUCCUUUAAAGCGGACGAGAAUUAAUAUGGAGAUGAAAUUCGCGCGAGCGGAGCGGAAGAAUUCUAUGUUCGAAUUAAAGAAGAAUGGAAAGUUUUCGUUGCGAGUUUUAAUUAACUUCAGGGAUAUUAAUUAAUAUAUAUAUAUUAUAUAUGCCUCUUUGAGAGAGAAAA